CCAGGAAGCAACAUUUCCACAUUAAUACACAACAGUGUCCCAAAAGCAGCCAGCCUCUUAACUGUGUCUCAGUUUAACGGAAAUGAAUACUGAAGUCAGGAUUCCCUUAAGGAUAAGGAAGGUACUAUUAUUCUGACAAAUUAUUAACUUACACACUAUUUGCUGGUUUUAAUUUAUCAUCUUGAAAGGUCAUUCUGGAAGACUGAGUUACAUUCCUUCUUCCAGAAAAAACAUCCUUUGCACUUUUGGAAACCCAUGUUAUCUCCCUGUUUUUGUGCUUCUUCCAGCAGCAGAGUAAUAAUAAUCUUUCUUUUUACCUAUUAAUUGCCUAACUUACUAGGCUACAGAAUCUAUUCUGUGUUGUUUUGAGUUCUCUGCCACAGAUUUCUUAGGUGAUCCCAGCCAAGCCACUCGGCCCAUCUGUGUUCUCUAUCUGUUGAUGCCAAGGGCAAAGAGGUGGUCACAUUUAAUGUUGCUGGUUGCAAAAAAGUUGUUUGUGGAGGAAGAAUUAAGACCCUUUUCUCCCAGUGGUAACAGCAGUUUGAAAGAAAGCCUGUUGUUGGUACCAGUUUCCUACUAUGCAGACAGCAUUCUUUAAAAAAAAGCCAGACCUUUCUUCAUCCUCCUCCAAUUCUGAGAGCAAGCUUAACCAACAAAGGAAUAUAUACAGAGCAGCUGUCUUAGUCUCCAGCAGAAGCAGGACUGCCAGCAUUCUUCUUGACGUUCACGUAAGCCUUCUUGAUGCAACAGUCAAGACUUUUCAGGAAAAGACUGCAGUGUUGUCCUGAGAAGCUAAUCCUUGCUGUGUGUUCCAUGCACACGAGAAAAAAAAAUAAUUCAAGACCCUCACAAAUUAUUAUCUAAAUUAACAUAUAGUUUAAAAAUGACAGUUCGAAACGUAAGCAGUGUGCUUUCUCUCUCAACUCAUGAUUCAGACGCUCAUCCUUUUUACUAAUGUCAAUCCAAUCUCUCCCUGCAUACAUACAGGAAAAGAGAAGUACUGGGGAUUUACAUCAAGGGACUUCACAGAUCCAAAUGCCUGGAAAUACUAAAAGAGAGCACAUAGCUAAUAGUAAUUUACUGAAUCCCCGUGCAAUACAAUGUUCAGUCUAAACCAGAGAUGUUAACCUGCAUGAAAAAGGGUCGGGAACUUCUCCUGAAUUAUUCUACCCAACACCCUCUCUUCCUAAAUUCAGACACCUGAUAAUUUUUUCAAACCUUUUCCUUUUCACUCAAAAGCUGUGGCUCAUCUGGGAGUUCCUGUUACAGAACAGACUCCCUCUAAAAUCCGAUUAAGCAUAUUUGUGUGGAAAAACCCUGGAAACGCAUGAAGGAUCUCAAAGAGACAAGCAGAUCUCACACAUCCAACCUAACAAAGAAAAGCGUGUGUAAAUUUCAAACAAUACAAAAAUGAAACAUUUUUAAAGAACUUCUACUGCAAUUUAAAUAACUUUGGAGUACCACAGUUUUACAUCAUUCUGCUAUAGCAUUUAUAUUUAUUACUUGAAAGUGACUGGAGGAACAUAUCAUUAAAAAGACUGAAAGCAGAAUGUAAAAAACAAAAAACCC